GAUGAACGCUGGCGGCGUGCUUAACACAUGCAAGUCGAACGAUGAAGCCCAGCUUGCUGGGUGGAUUAGUGGCGAACGGGUGAGUAACACGUGAGUAACCUGCCCUUAACUCUGGGAUAAGCCUGGGAAACUGGGUCUAAUACCGGAUAGGAGCGUCCACCGCAUGGUGGGGGUUGGAAAGAUUUAUCGGUUUUGGAUGGACUCGCGGCCUAUCAGCUUGUUGGUGAGGUAAUGGCUCACCAAGGCGACGACGGGUAGCCGGCCUGAGAGGGUGACCGGCCACACUGGGACUGAGACACGGCCCAGACUCCUACGGGAGGCAGCAGUGGGGAAUAUUGCACAAUGGGCGCAAGCCUGAUGCAGCGACGCCGCGUGAGGGAUGACGGCCUUCGGGUUGUAAACCUCUUUCAGUAGGGAAGAAGCGAAAGUGACGGUACCUGCAGAAGAAGCACCGGCUAACUACGUG
rnacentral:rRNA from 1 species